GCCCCAACAUUCCGUCCCAUACACACCCAUUAUAAACUCUGAAACGGGUGAAAAAACAUCAUGAAACUUAAACUGGAACUGAAGAAAAAGUAUAAUAGAUAUUGAAAAGAUAAAUACAAGUUGAAUAGUUGAAUGUCUUGUCUUCGUUUUAAAGUUUGAAUGGUGGCUCUAUGUCAAUGUAUGUGGAAGUAGAUACAGUUUAAAGAGGAUGAAGUUGAAUGAGAAUUUGAAGGGUCUCCCCAUUGAAAUACAUUAUAAAUUUUUGUUGAAAAAAGUUGAAUAAAAUUAAAAAUAUAAAUGUUAAAAAUGAGAAAAAUAGAAGCAAUGUUGUCCAAAAGAAUAGGAAUCUAACGGUGUUUGAAUGGUUUUUCUAAGUUGAACGGUUUUGAAGGAGUUGGCUUUCAAAAAGCGUACGGAAUAGAUAAUAAUAAUAAAAUAUAACUAGAAAGUGCAUUUUCUGAAGAAACUGCAGUGUGAAUGCUUGAAUCUGAAUGUAUGCACUGAAAUGAAUUAAUUGCUGAAUUUUGAGUUAAAAAUAUUGAAUGAGAUUAAAAAAAAACCCAAAAAAAAAACCCGAAUUUAACCUGAAAACAAAAGUGCUGAACUGCUAAAAGCUGAAGGUUACACAGAAGAAGGAGUUGGAAAAAAACUGAAAAUGUUUUAAAUGUAAAUUAGAAAACCCUAAGAAAUGAGAAAAGAACAUUUAGAGUCAGAAAACAUCUGAAUGAAUAUUAAAAGGUCAUAUUCUUUGAAUCACUGAAUGACUCAAAUGUGAUCCCUCCACUUUGAUCCACACAGUUUAAAAAGUUUAAAUGCCUGAGCUUUGAAAGAUACGGUGUUGGAAAGAGAACAAUAAUGGCGACAAUUUGAGGGUAAAAUGAUGGCUGUAACACUGUGGACACAGCAGCAGUUGAAAGAGAAGUGUUUAAGAUGAAUCUUGGUACAGUGGCAGGCAGAGCUCGUUAAGCAGGCAGGUGUGAGCCUGGUUGCUAUAGUGACUGCACCCAAUGGCUCCAUACACACGACACAGACAUGCACCUCACUUUUGCUGCUUAAAAUGAACAGAAAAGUCAGGCCCAAACAAAUUCUUCCCAAAUGAAAAGUACAUGUCGUAUUGACAAAAUUCUUUCACCGUGAGCGACAGCAAUGUCUAGUCUACCAAAUUCUCAGUUUUCAUGCCUGUGGAGUUUAUUAUAUGGACGUGGUGACAGUGUAAAGACACCAUGCUCUUCUGAUUUUCAAAAGAACCUUCUGAGCCAUUUUAACAUUAGAGUCUAUGGAAGAGUUGGAGGGAGGAGGCUGCGCAUUGGUGACAUUUAUGAAAGAACCAUAACACCUAGAACAAUAGUAAACACAUUGGAUGAAAGAGGACAGCCAUGGCUACGUUUUGAGGGUAAAAUCAUACCUGUAGAGCAAACGCUGCGGACACAGCAGCAGUUUUAAAAAAAGAUUUUAAGAUUAAUUUUUUUGCUCCUCUCACUCUAGCAGUUGAGCUGUCUCACUCUAGCCCCAACAUUCCGUCCCAUACACACCCAUUAUAAACUCUGAAACGGCUGAAAAAACAUCAUGAAACUUAAACUGGAACUGAAGAAAAAGUAUAAUAGAUAUUGAAAAGAUAAAUACAAGUUGAAUAGUUGAAUGUCUUGUCUUCGUUUUAAAGUUUGAAUGGUGGCUCUAUGUCAAUGUAUGUGGAAGUAGAUACAGUUUAAAGAGGAGGAAUUUGAAUGAGAAUUUGAAGGGUCUCUCCAUUGAAAUACAUUAUAAAUUUUUGUUAAAUAAAGUUGAAUAAAAUAAAAAAUAUAAAUGUUAAAAAUGAGAAAAAUAGAAGCAGUGUUGUCCAAAAGAAUAGGAAUCUAACGGUGUUUGAAUGGUUUUUCUAAGUUGAACGGUUUUGAAGGAGAUAGAUUACAAAAAACGUACGGAAUACAGA
ensembl:lncRNA